ACCUUAUCCUGCACUUCUCAUUUUAUUUGAUUCAUCUGGAUGUCUCUCCCUCUCCAUACACAAGUACACCUGUCAACUCACAUGAUCAUUCCUCCUUUUUCUGCCCCUCCCUUCUGCUGCGCUGCAGAUAGUCUGUUCAUUGCUCAACCUGUGGUGGCGAGUCAGUGGAGCCACAAAUCUGCAUGCGGGCGUAUGGAGCUGAUGACAAUGUGACAGUCUGACCCCAGUAGCCACUUCCCUCUGAGAAGAUCCUGUUUCGUAAUGUUGGUCAAUUGUCAGAAGUUGUCUUGGUCUUGUGAGGUCAAAAUGCAAACAGCAUGAUGAAGACGAGAUUUUAAUGCCAACUGUAACUGCACCACGUAUGUAUCAAACCCAUGCUGUGAAUUUGGUUGUUCAGCACCUUGUUUGUGAACUGCCAGUUUUGCAAAAAAAAUACUGAAGCACUGAAAGAGUCUAAAAGGUCCAUUCAACAUUUUAAAGAAAGUCAAAUUAAACUUACCUGCAAAGAAAG